UGAGGCCUGAGACAAAAGUCAUUCCAUCGUGGAUUCCAAACUGUGGACGUAAGCAGAUAGGAGUAAUUCUUCCCUUUGAGACUGAUUCAUGCCAGGAGUUUUAUUGAAGGAACCACUAUUUUAUGCACCAUUUGGACCUGUGGCCCUUGGCUUACUGCAUUGCCUUGAAAUGUAAGAGGCACCUUCUGAGAAACAUGCUGCUUAGGCCUGCACCUGCCAUACUUCAUAGGAGCUUCCAUAGCCUCGGAUACAACUAUCGUUCAUUAGCUGUCUUGAGUUACAAGUAUAAAUCUGGAGUCCGGAACAAUCUUUCCUUCAAGAUCAACUUGCCUUAGGACAAACUAGGAUGGAAAAAAAAAGAGAAG